rnacentral:rRNA from 1 species
UACGUAGGGUGCGAGCGUUAAUCGGAAUUACUGGGCGUAAAGUGUGCGCAGGUGGCUGAGCAAGUCGAGUGUGAAAGCCCCGGGCUUAACCUGGGAAUUGCGCUCGAAACUACUUGGCUGGAGUAUGGCAGAGGGAGGUGGAAUUCCACGUGUAGCGGUGAAAUGCGUAGAGAUGUGGAGGAACACCAAUGGCGAAGGCAGCCUCCUGGGCCAAUACUGACACUCAUGCACGAAAGCGUGGGGAGCAAACAGG